rnacentral:rRNA from 1 species
AUUUGUCUGGUUAAUUCCGAUAACGAACGAGACCUUAACCUGCUAACUAGUUCUCAAUACUCUGUAUUCUGCAACUUCUUAGAGGGACUAUGUAAAUCAAUUACAUUGAAGUUUGAGGCAAUAACAGGUCAGUGAUGCCCUUAUAUGUCCUGGGCUGCACGCGUGCUACACUGAUGCAUACAACAAGUGCCUAGCCAGACAUGGUAUGGCAAUCUCGAAUAUGCAUCGUGAUGGGGAUAGAUCUUUGCAAUUAUAGAUCUUGAACGAGGAAUUCCUAGUAAGUGCAAGUCAUCAUCUUGCAUUGAUUAUGUCCCUGCCCUUUGUACACACCGCCCGUCGCUCCUACCGAUACCGGGUGAUCCGGUGAACCUUUUGGACUCCGUACGGGGGAAGAUAAGUAAACCAUAUCACCUAGAGGAAGGAGAAGUCGUAACAAGGUUUCCGUAGGUGAACCUGCRGAAGGAUCA